ACGACUCUCGGCAACGGAUAUCUCGGCUCUCGCAUCGAUGAAGAACGUAGCGAAAUGCGAUACUUGGUGUGAAUUGCAGAAUCCCGUGAACCAUCGAGUCUUUGAACGCAAGUUGCGCCCGAGGCCUACUCGGCCGAGGGCACGUCCGCCUGGGUGUCACGC
rnacentral:rRNA from 1 species